rnacentral:rRNA from 1 species
GAUGAACGCUGACGGCGUGCCUAAUACAUGCAAGUCGAGCGAACGGACGAGAAGCUUGCUUCUCUGAUGUUAGCGGCGGACGGGUGAGUAACACGUGGAUAACCUACCUAUAAGACUGGGAUAACUUCGGGAAACCGGAGCUAAUACCGGAUAAUAUUUUGAACCGCAUGGUUCAAAAGUGAAAGACGGUCUUGCUGUCACUUAUAGAUGGAUCCGCGCUGCAUUAGCUAGUUGGUAAGGUAACGGCUUACCAAGGCAACGAUGCAUAGCCGACCUGAGAGGGUGAUCGGCCACACUGGAACUGAGACACGGUCCAGACUCCUACGGGAGGCAGCAGUAGGGAAUCUUCCGCAAUGGGCGAAAGCCUGACGGAGCAACGCCGCGUGAGUGAUGAAGGUCUUCGGAUCGUAAAACUCUGUUAUUAGGGAAGAACAUAUGUGUAAGUAACUGUGCGCAUCUUGACGGUACCUAAUCAGAAAGCCACGGCUAACUACGUG